rnacentral:rRNA from 1 species
GAUGAACGCUGGCGGCGUGCCUAAUACAUGCAAGUCGAACGAGGUGCUUUUGUAGCAAUACGAGGGUAUCCUAGUGGCGAACGGGUGAGUAACGCGUUGGUGACCUGCCCCAAAGUGUGGGAUAACAGUCCGAAAGGAUUGCUAAUACCGCAUGUGGUCCUCGGGUUUAGAAACCGAUGACUAAAGCAGUAAUGCGCUUUGGGAGGGACCUGCGUCCCAUCAGCUAGUUGGUGAGGUAACGGCCCACCAAGGCGACGACGGGUAGGGGGCCUGAGGAGGGUCGGCCCCCCACAAUGGAACUGAAACACGGUCCAUACACCUACGGGUGGCAG